rnacentral:misc_RNA from 1 species
CUGUUGAAACGUCUCGGCCAGUCGUGUCCCGCAUUGGGGCCUUCUGCGCCAGCGUUUAGCACCCUUGAUUUUGAGCACCUUUUGUUUCCUCGGCGGGUUCGCCCGCCAGCGAGGACCCCCAUGAACUCUUUGCAAUAGCAAUUUUUGUCUGAAAUACAAACAAUAAUCA